AUGCAUCCACGCGGUAAUACGGAGGGUGCAAGCGUUAAUCGGAAUUACUGGGCGUAAAGCGCGCGUAGGUGGUUUGGUAAGUUGGGUGUGAAAUCCCCGGGCUCAACCUGGGAACUGCAUUCAAAACUGCCAGACUAGAGUACGAUAGAGGGGGGUAGAAUUUCAGGUGUAGCGGUGAAAUGCGUAGAGAUCUGAAGGAAUACCGGUGGCGAAGGCGGCCCCCUGGAUUGAUACUGACACUGAGGUGCGAAAGCGUGGGUAGCAAACAGGAUUAGAUACCCUGGUAGUCCACGCCGUAAACGAUGUCAACUAGCUGUUGGAGGACUUGAUCCUUUAGUGGCGCAGCUAACGCGUUAAGUUGACCGCCUGGGGAGUACGGCCGCAAGGUUAAAACUCAAAUGAAUUGACGGGGGCCCGCACAAGCGGUGGAGCAUGUGGUUUAAUUCGAAGCAACGCGAAGAACCUUACCUACUCUUGACAUCCUCAGAACUUUCCAGAGAUGGAUUGGUGCCUUCGGGAACUGAGUGACAGGUGCUGCAUGGCUGUCGUCAGCUCGUGUUGUGAAAUGUUGGGUUAAGUCCCGUAACGAGCGCAACCCUUGUCCUUAUUUGUCAGCACGUAAUGGUGGGAACUUUAAGGAGACUGCCGGUGACAAACCGGAGGAAGGUGGGGACGACGUCAAGUCAUCAUGGCCCUUACGAGUAGGGCUACACACGUGCUACAAUGGCCGGUACAGAGGGUUGCCAAGCCGCGAGGUGGAGCUAAUCCCAGAAAGCCGGUCGUAGUUCGGAUUGGAGUCUGCAACUCGACUCCAUGAAGCCGGAAUCGCUAGUAAUCGCGAAUCAGAAUGUCGCGGUGAAUACGUUCCCGGGCCUUGUACACACCGCCCGUCACACCAUGGGAGUGGGUUGCAAAAGAAGUGGGUAGACUA
rnacentral:rRNA from 1 species